rnacentral:lncRNA from 1 species
UUCUGUAAAAUAAAAUUAAAAAAAAUAUGCCCCCAAAUGUAGCUACAUUUUUCUGUAUGCUUUUUAUGUUACAUAAUAAUAAUAUCUCAAAAUUAGUGAGAAGAAUUGAAAAUAAUAUUCUGAAUGUUAGUUAAUAAUAUUGCCAAAACUAACAAAUUGUUUUAUUCAUAGUUAUCUUUUUCUAUGUCUGUUUUCACACUUGGAUUAUGAGUUUUUU